rnacentral:rRNA from 1 species
GGGUUGUGAGGUUAAGCGACUAAGCGUACACGGUGGAUGCCCUGGCAGUCAGAGGCGAUGAAGGACGUGCUAAUCUGCGAAAAGCGUCGGUAAGGUGAUAUGAACCGUUAUAACCGGCGAUGUCCGAAUGGGGAAACCCAGUGCAAUUCGUUGCACUAUCGUUAACUGAAUACAUAGGUUAACGAGGCGAACCGGGGGAACUGAAACAUCUAAGUACCCCGAGGAAAAGAAAUCAACCGAGAUUCCCCCAGUAGCGGCGAGCGAACGGGGAGCAGCCCAGAGUCUGAAUCAGCUUGUGUGUUAGUGGAACGGUCUGGAAAGUCCGACGGUACAGGGUGAUAGUCCCGUACACCAAAAUGCACAGGCUGUGAACUCGAAGAGUAGGGCGGGACACGUGGUAUCCUGUCUGAAUAUGGGGGGACCAUCCUCCAAGGCUAAAUACUCCUGACUGACCGAUAGUGAACCAGUACCGUGAGGGAAAGGCGAAAAGAACCCCGGCGAGGGGAGUGAAAAAGAACCUGAAACCGUGUACGUACAAGCAGUGGGAGCACCUUCGGGUGUGACUGCGUACCUUUUGUAUAAUGGGUCAGCGACUUAUAUUCUGUAGCAAGGUUAACCGUAUAGGGGAGCCGCAGGGAAACCGAGUCUUAACUGGGCGUUAAGUUGCAGGGUAUAGACCCGAAACCCGGUGAUCUAGCCAUGGGCAGGUUGAAGGUUGGGUAACACUAACUGGAGGACCGAACCGACUAAUGUUGAAAAAUUAGCGGAUGACUUGUGGCUGGGGGUGAAAGGCCAAUCAAACCGGGAGAUAGCUGGUUCUCCCCGAAAGCUAUUUAGGUAGCGCCUCGUGAAUUCAUCUUCGGGGGUAGAGCACUGUUUCGGCUAGGGGGUCAUCCCGACUUACCAACCCGAUGCAAACUACGAAUACCGAAGAAUGUUAUCACGGGAGACACACGGCGGGUGCUAACGUCCGUCGUGAAGAGGGAAACAACCCAGACCGCCAGCUAAGGUCCCAAAGUCAUGGUUAAGUGGGAAACGAUGUGGGAAGGCACAGACAGCCAGGAUGUUGGCUUAGAAGCAGCCAUCAUUUAAAGAAAGCGUAAUAGCUCACUGGUCGAGUCGGCCUGCGCGGAAGAUGUAACGGGGCUAAACCAUGCACCGAAGCUGCGGCAGCGACACUAUGUGUUGUUGGGUAGGGGAGCGUUCUGUAAGCCUGCGAAGGUGUGCUGUGAGGCAUGCUGGAGGUAUCAGAAGUGCGAAUGCUGACAUAAGUAACGAUAAAGCGGGUGAAAAGCCCGCUCGCCGGAAGACCAAGGGUUCCUGUCCAACGUUAAUCGGGGCAGGGUGAGUCGACCCCUAAGGCGAGGCCGAAAGGCGUAGUCGAUGGGAAACAGGUUAAUAUUCCUGUACUUGGUGUUACUGCGAAGGGGGGACGGAGAAGGCUAUGUUAGCCGGGCGACGGUUGUCCCGGUUUAAGCAUGUAGGCUGGUUGUCCAGGCAAAUCCGGAUAAUCAAGGCUGAGGUGUGAUGACGAGGUACUACGGUGCUGAAGUAACAAAUGCCCUGCUUCCAGGAAAAGCCUCUAAGCAUCAGGUAACAUCAAAUCGUACCCCAAACCGACACAGGUGGUCAGGUAGAGAAUACCAAGGCGCUUGAGAGAACUCGGGUGAAGGAACUAGGCAAAAUGGUGCCGUAACUUCGGGAGAAGGCACGCUGGUGUGUAGGUGAAGUCCCUGCGGAUGGAGCUGAGACCAGUCGAAGAUACCAGCUGGCUGCAACUGUUUAUUAAAAACACAGCACUGUGCAAACACGAAAGUGGACGUAUACGGUGUGACGCCUGCCCGGUGCCGGAAGGUUAAUUGAUGGGGUUAUCCGUAAGGAGAAGCUCUUGAUCGAAGCCCCGGUAAACGGCGGCCGUAACUAUAACGGUCCUAAGGUAGCGAAAUUCCUUGUCGGGUAAGUUCCGACCUGCACGAAUGGCGUAAUGAUGGCCAGGCUGUCUCCACCCGAGACUCAGUGAAAUUGAACUCGCUGUGAAGAUGCAGUGUACCCGCGGCAAGACGGAAAGACCCCGUGAACCUUUACUAUAGCUUGACACUGAACAUUGAGCCUUGAUGUGUAGGAUAGGUGGGAGGCUUUGAAGCGUGGACGCCAGUCUGCGUGGAGCCAACCUUGAAAUACCACCCUUUAAUGUUUGAUGUUCUAACGUUGGCCCCUUACCGGGGUUGCGGACAGUGUCUGGUGGGUAGUUUGACUGGGGCGGUCUCCUCCCAAAGCGUAACGGAGGAGCACGAAGGUUAGCUAAUCCUGGUCGGACAUCAGGAGGUUAGUGCAAUGGCAUAAGCUAGCUUGACUGCGAGCGUGACGGCGCGAGCAGGUGCGAAAGCAGGUCAUAGUGAUCCGGUGGUUCUGAAUGGAAGGGCCAUCGCUCAACGGAUAAAAGGUACUCCGGGGAUAACAGGCUGAUACCGCCCAAGAGUUCAUAUCGACGGCGGUGUUUGGCACCUCGAUGUCGGCUCAUCACAUCCUGGGGCUGAAGUAGGUCCCAAGGGUAUGGCUGUUCGCCAUUUAAAGUGGUACGCGAGCUGGGUUUAGAACGUCGUGAGACAGUUCGGUCCCUAUCUGCCGUGGGCGCUGGAGAAUUGAGGGGGGCUGCUCCUAGUACGAGAGGACCGGAGUGGACGCAUCACUGGUGUUCGGGUUGUCAUGCCAAUGGCACUGCCCGGUAGCUAAAUGCGGAAGAGAUAAGUGCUGAAAGCAUCUAAGCACGAAACUUGCCCCGAGAUGAGUUCUCCCUGAGACUUUAAGUCUCCUGAAGGAACGUUAAAGACGAUGACGUUGAUAGGCCGGGUGUGUAAGCGCAGCGAUGCGUUGAGCUAACCGGUACUAAUGAACCGUGAGGCUUAACCUUACAACGCCGAAG